CUCGAGUGCUUGCUUGCUUCUUCACUUUUCGCCGUGUUAAGAGCACUCCAACUUGUGCUCACACGCUUACCAUCAAAGCGAUCGGUCAUCUAAAACUCAAACACUUCAGAGAAACAAGAU